rnacentral:miRNA from 1 species
UCAAACUGUGGCCCUCCAGGUGUUGCUGAACUACAACUCCCAUGAUUCUCUGGCUAUCUAUGUAAUUCAAAGAAUCAUGGGAGUUGUAGUUCAGCAACAUCUGGAGGGCCACAGUUUGA